AGUGAACGCUGGCGGUAGGCCUAACACAUGCAAGUCGAACGGCAGCACAGUAAGAGCUUGCUCUUACGGGUGGCGAGUGGCGGACGGGUGAGGAAUACAUCGGAAUCUACUUUUUCGUGGGGGAUAACGUAGGGAAACUUACGCUAAUACCGCAUACGACCUACGGGUGAAAGCAGGGGAUCUUCGGACCUUGCGCGAUUGAAUGAGCCGAUGUCGGAUUAGCUAGUUGGCGGGGUAAAGGCCCACCAAGGCGACGAUCCGUAGCUGGUCUGAGAGGAUGAUCAGCCACACUGGAACUGAGACACGGUCCAGACUCCUACGGGAGGCAGCAGUCGGGAAUAUUGGACAAUGGGCGCAAGCCUGAUCCAGCCAUACCGCGUGGGUGAAGAAGGCCUUCGGGUUGUAAAGCCCUUUUGUUGGGGAAGAAAAGCAGCAGGUUAAUACCCCGCUGUUCUGACGGUACCCAAAGAAUAAGCACCGGCUAACUUCGU
rnacentral:rRNA from 1 species